UACGUAGGGUCCGAGCGUUGUCCGGAAUUAUUGGGCGUAAAGAGCUCGUAGGCGGUUUGUCGCGUCUGCUGUGAAAUCCCGAGGCUCAACCUCGGGUCUGCAGUGGGUACGGGCAGACUGGAGUGCGGUAGGGGAGAAUGGAAUUCCUGGUGUAGCGGUGGAAUGCGUAGAUAUCGAGAGGAACACCUGCGGCGAAGGCGGGUUGCUGGGCUGAUACUGACGCUGAGGCGCGAAAGCUAGGGGAGCGAACGGG
rnacentral:rRNA from 1 species